rnacentral:rRNA from 1 species
AUUGAACGCUGGCGGCAGGCUUAACACAUGCAAGUCGAGCGGGGGAAGGUAGCUUGCUACCGGACCUAGCGGCGGACGGGUGAGUAAUGCUUAGGAAUCUGCCUAUUAGUGGGGGACAACAUCUCGAAAGGGAUGCUAAUACCGCAUACGUCCUACGGGAGAAAGCAGGGGAUCUUCGGACCUUGCGCUAAUAGAUGAGCCUAAGUCGGAGUAGCUAGUUGGUGGGGUAAAGGCCUACCAAGGCGACGAUCUGUAGCGGGUCUGAGAGGAUGAUCCGCCACACUGGGACUGAGACACGGCCCAGACUCCUACGGGAGGCAGCAGUGGGGAAUAUUGGACAAUGGGGGGAACCCUGAUCCAGCCAUGCCGCGUGUGUGAAGAAGGCCUUAUGGUUGUAAAGCACUUUAAGCGAGGAGGAGGCUACUCUAGUUAAUACCUAGGGAUAGUGGACGUUACUCGCAGAAUAAACACCGGCUAACUCUGUGCCAGCAGCCGCCGUAA